rnacentral:lncRNA from 1 species
AGGUAAAAGCUGCUAGGAAUGAUGAAAAGCUGUGUUUGUAGCUUAGAAAUAAACACAGGGAAGGAAAAUACGGAAGUGUGCAGAUGGAGCGGAUAUUUGGACUAAUCCAGGUUCAAGCCUCCGGGGUUUUUGCUGGCCAUGGAAUUGGGGGGUUAGCUGUCCUGACAGCACUAAAUCCCUCUUUAUCUCUUCUUCCCUUUGUUGUGGAUUUGCAGUGCCGUGGUGUUCGAGUGUGGGGCAGGAUCCAGGCGCUGUGGGAUGCCUGAAGUGGAGCCUUAAGCCAGCAAAGGACUUGAGCCACGGUCAUGUUCACCUCAGGACAAGGUAUUUAAUGUCAAAUCAGUGAUGUCUCCCAGCCAUGUCUGCUGCUCCACUUAAAUUCCUGUUCAAUCCAAGAAUGCCCUCAUCCCCCCUGUGAUCCCAACAGCCAAACCAUUUGGGAAUGACUGUAUUUUGUUUCUUUCUACAUGUUCCAUUACUGCCUCCUCAAAGGUUGUCCUGCAAGAACAGAUGUUAAGUCUGCCAUCCCCUCCUUGUACUGCUGUUGCUAAAAAAGCACCAGUCCGCUCCCAAAUGGGGAGAAAUCCCAAAAGGAAGAGGAUUUCUGGUUGCAGAGAAGCUGUCAGGAUGGAGUGCAGGUGCAGCUUUUUGUGCUGAUGCUUCUUGUACACUGUGGGUAUUUUGAGCUUCCUGUAAACCUCAAGAUGCUGCUGAGCUGCAGGGAAGGUUCUCCCUUGUGCUGACACUUGAAAUUGGUUAGUGCUGAGAAAUUAAUCCCCUGCUUUAGCUGGGCAUUGCUCCUCUUCCCUCAGCAUCCCUGUGUGCAGCUGUGUCCUCCCCAAAGGUGCUGGAUACAGCUCUGGCAUCCCACUCCUGUCCACCUGCGGGGUAUUGCUCACUUUAGAGCAGCAGAACUGUUUCAGUUCAGGUUCCCUCUCAGGCAAUGGGCUGUUCUCACGUGGUGCUGUAGCUUUAUACUGGCAGAAACUCACAGAAUUUUUUUUUUCCUUUCUCUCUGCAGUUUGGUAUUCACAGAGCGGCGUCAGCCCUGCACAUAGCCCGGGUGGUGCUGAGUGUUGGGGAGAUCCUGCAGAUCAGUGCUGCCUGAACCACACUGAUAAAGUCUCCAGGCCUCUUCCUUGGGGAGGUCCUUUCCUGCUGAGGGACAUUUCUCUGGGCCCCUUGAUGCACGUGACAAAGGGUGAUGCUUUGUAAAAGCCAUUUUGUAGCUGGUAAGUGCCUCAGGCCUCCCUGGUGCACUGGUGGUCCUGCUGUCAGCAGCAUGUAGGGAGCAAUAUCUCCUGUUAGAUUAUCCAAUCGAUUUGGGAAAAACCAGACAAGCCACUCUUCAGGCUAAAAGCAGGUCUGUUUCUCCCAAAUUGUGUCCGUGCUGGUUUUUCCAGUGGUGCCUGUGCCUCACAUACUGAUAAAAGCCACGUGCUCCCCAGCAUUCCCAGAGGGAUGUGCCUGCUUUGGCAGCAAGCCUUGAGCUGCUGGAGCCCAAUUCCUG